rnacentral:misc_RNA from 1 species
GCGAGUUAAAAACAAACUCCAAACCCAUGUGAACUUACCUUUUGUUGCCUUCGGCAGGUCGUGCUGCGCGGCCGGACCGCAAACCGUCUGCGGGAAUACCUACCCUGGAGUAGGUACCCUGUAGCGGGGAGCGCCUACCCCGCAGCACGCUACCAGGCCUGCCAGAGGACCACUAAACUCUGUUUUACCUUGUAUCUCUGAGUCUAUAAACAAAUAAGUUA